rnacentral:rRNA from 1 species
UUUAAUGAGAGUUUGAUCCUGGCUCAGAACGAACGCUGGCGGCGUGCCUAACACAUGCAAGUCGAACGGAGUCAUUUUGAAGUAGCAAUACGGAAGAAUGACUUAGUGGCGCACGGGUGAGUAACACGUAGGUAACCUGCCCUUAAGAGGGGGAAAACCCGCCGAAAGGCGAGCUAAUACCGCAUAAGACCACGAACUGAGAUGUUUGUGGUAAAAGGAGCAAUCCACUUAAGGAUGGGCCUGCGGCCUAUCAGGUAGUUGGUGAGGUAACGGCUCACCAAGCCUAAGACGGGUAGCCGGUCUGAGAGGACGGACGGCCACACUGGAACUGAGACACGGUCCAGACUCCUACGGGAGGCAGCAGUGGGGAAUUUUGCACAAUGGGCGAAAGCCUGAUGCAGCGACGCCGCGUGGAGGAUGAAGGCCUUCGGGUUGUAAACUCCUUUUGUAGGGGAAAAUAAUGAUGGUACCCUGCGAAUAAGCCACGGCUAACUCUGUGCCAGCAGCCGCGGUAAGACAGAGGUGGCAAGCGUUGUUCGGAAUUACUGGGCUUAAAGGGCGCGUAGGCGGUAAGAUAAGUCUGUGGUGAAAUCCUAUGGCUUAACCAUAGAAUUGCCAUGGAAACUAUUUUACUUGAGUCAGCGAGGGGAUGGUGGAAUUCCUGGUGUAGCAGUGAAAUGCGUAGAUAUCCGGAGGAAGGCCGGUGGCGAAGGCGGCCAUCUGGCGCUGAACUGACGCUGAGGCGCGAAAGCGUGGGUAGCAAACAGGAUUAGAUACCCUGGUAGUCCACGCCCUAAACGGUGGGUACUAGGUGUGGGUGGCGACCGUCAUCUGUGCCGAAGGGAAACCAUUAAGUACCCCGCCUGGGGA